rnacentral:sRNA from 1 species
GAUCCUGAGCUGGUCACCCUGAUCUCAGAUGCCGCG